GACGAACGCUGGCGGCGUGCUUAACACAUGCAAGUCGAACGAUGAAGCCUAGCUUGCUAGGUGGAUUAGUGGCGAACGGGUGAGUAAUACGUGAGUAACCUACCUUUAACUCUGGGAUAAGCCUGGGAAACUGGGUCUAAUACCGGAUACGACCAAUCUCCGCAUGGGGUGUUGGUGGAAAGCGUUAUGUAGUGGUUAUAGAUGGGCUCACGGCCUAUCAGCUUGUUGGUGAGGUAACGGCUCACCAAGGCGACGACGGGUAGCCGGCCUGAGAGGGUGACCGGCCACACUGGGACUGAGACACGGCCCAGACUCCUACGGGAGGCAGCAGUGGGGAAUAUUGCACAAUGGGCGCAAGCCUGAUGCAGCGACGCCGCGUGAGGGAUGACGGCCUUCGGGUUGUAAACCUCUGUUAGCAGGGAAGAAGAGAGAUUGACGGUACCUGCAGAGAAAGCGCCGGCUAACUACGUGCCAGCAGCCGCGGUAAUACGUAGGGCGCGAGCGUUGUCCGGAAUUAUUGGGCGUAAAGAGCUUGUAGGCGGUUUGUCGCGUCUGCUGUGAAGGCCGGGGCUUAACUCCGUGUAUUGCAGUGGGUACGGGCAGACUAGAGUGCAGUAGGGGAGACUGGAAUUCCUGGUGUAGCGGUGGAAUGCGCAGAUAUCAGGAGGAACACCGAUGGCGAAGGCAGGUCUCUGGGCUAUAACUGACGCUGAGAAGCGAAAGCAUGGGGAGCGAACAGGAUUAGAUACCCUGGUAGUCCAUGCCGUAAACGUUGGGCACUAGGUGUGGGGGACAUUCCACGUUUUCCGCGCCGUAGCUAACGCAUUAAGUGCCCCGCCUGGGGAGUACGGCCGCAAGGCUAAAACUCAAAGAAAUUGACGGGGGCCCGCACAAGCGGCGGAGCAUGCGGAUUAAUUCGAUGCAACGCGAAGAACCUUACCAAGGCUUGACAUAUACUGGACCGCAUCAGAGAUGGUGUUUCCCUUCGGGGCUGGUAUACAGGUGGUGCAUGGUUGUCGUCAGCUCGUGUCGUGAGAUGUUGGGUUAAGUCCCGCAACGAGCGCAACCCUCGUUCUAUGUUGCCAGCACGUUAUGGUGGGGACUCAUAGGAGACUGCCGGGGUCAACUCGGAGGAAGGUGGGGAUGACGUCAAGUCAUCAUGCCCCUUAUGUCUUGGGCUUCACGCAUGCUACAAUGGCCGGUACAGAGGGUUGCGAUACUGUGAGGUGGAGCUAAUCCCUAAAAGCCGGCCUCAGUUCGGAUUGGGGUCUGCAACUCGACCCCAUGAAGUCGGAGUCGCUAGUAAUCGCAGAUCAGCAACGCUGCGGUGAAUACGUUCCCGGGCCU
rnacentral:rRNA from 1 species